GGAUAUUUAAGCGAGAGAAAUCAGAGAUCAGUCUUUUCUAUCCUGCAGACUCUGUUGUCUGAGAUGGAGCGGAAUGACUCUACUUGUAUGCUGUGAUCUAGUGUGCAGUCUGCUGCCACCAGAUGACAUCAUACGAGUCGAGACGUCACGCUGCCGAAGGAUCUCUUUGCCUUAACCCUUAUAAGGCAUGCUUGCGUUUAUUUUUUAGGAGAGGUGGAGGACCAAUCUGCCAAGGGAUUCGGCACUCGGGUCCGCUGCCCUGUUCAAGUGCAUUCUCUGGCAACACUGGAUGUCUGGCUGGGGUCCAGUGGACCUGGAGUGGACAGCACCAGGUCUAUCCAUGACCUGCUGACGAAGCACCAGUAAACUAGAAGCAACCGAAAACAAACAAGCCGUAAAUGAUCCCCUAAACUUUUGGUCGGCUUCUGGUUGUCUGUUGCUUGGUUACAGGUUAUGGGGAUGACCUGCUGUAAAACCAACCAUGUUUUGAAAUAAGGCUGACUGCAACUUUUUUCCUCAAAAAAUAAAAAAUCAAUAAAAAUGUAAAAACCGCAACUAAAAUUAA